rnacentral:rRNA from 1 species
CCUACGGGUGGCUGCAGUGGGGAAUCUUGCGCAAUGGGCGAAAGCCUGACGCAGCGACGCCGCGUGAGUGAUGAAGGCCUUCGGGUUGUAAAGCUCUGUGGAGGGAGACGAAUAAGGGUUGGCUAACAUCCAGCUCGAUGACGGUAUCCCUUUAGCAAGCACCGGCUAACUCUGUGCCAGCAGCCGCGGUAAGACAGAGGGUGCAAACGUGGUUCUGAAUUACGGGGAGUAAACCGGGAGUAGGCGAUGCGAAAGCCCUGGGCUCAACGUAGGAAGUGCAUUCGAAACUUCCGAGCUGGAGUGCUGGAGAGGAAGGCGGAAUUCUCGGUGUAGAGGUGAAAUUCGUAGAUAUCGAGAGGAACACCGGUGGCGAAGGCGGCCUUCUGGACAGCUACUGACGCUGAGACGCGAAAGCGUGGGGAGCAAACAGGAUUAGAUACCCCAGUAGUC